rnacentral:rRNA from 1 species
GACGAACGCUGGCGGCGUGCUUAACACAUGCAAGUCGAACGGAAAGGCCCUGCUUUUGUUGGGUGCUCGAGUGGCGAACGGGUGAGUAACACGUGAGUAACCUGCCCUUGACUUUGGGAUAACUUCAGGAAACUGGGGAUAAUACCGGAUAGGAGCUCCUGCUGCAUGGGGGGGGUUGGAAAGUUUCGGCGGUGGGGGAUGGACUCGCGGGUUAUCAGCUUGUUGGUGGGGUAGUGGCUUACCAAGGCUUUGACGGGUAGCCGGCCUGGGAGGGUGACCGGCCACAUUGGGCCUGAGGUACGGCCCAGACUGCUACGGGCGGCAGCAGUGGAAAGUAUUGCACAAUGGGCGGAAGCCUGAUGCAGCAACGCCGCGUGCGGGAUGACGGCCUUCGGGUUGUAAACCGCUUUCGCCUGUGACGAAGCGUGAGUGACGGUACUGGGUAAAGAAGCACCGGCUAACUACGUG